GGACCCGCACAAGCGGUGGAGCAUGUGGUUUAAUUCGAUGCAACGCGAAAAACCUUACCUACUCUUGACAUACUUGGGAGCUCUUGUAAUGAGAGUGUGCCUUUUGGAACCAAGAUACAGGUGCUGCAUGGCUGUCGUCAGCUCGUGUCGUGAGAUGUUCCGUUAAGUCGGAUAACGAGCGCAACCCUUACCCUUAUUUGCCAGCGAUUCGGUCGGGAACUAUAAGGGGACUGCCGGUGAUAAACCGGAGGAAGGUGAGGACGACGUCAAGUCAUCAUGGCCCUUACGAGUAGGGCUACACACGUGCUACAAUGCCCAGCACAAUGGGAUGCAACACCGCGAGGUUGAGCAAAUCCACAAAACUGGGCCCAGUUCGGAUUGGAGUCUGCAACUCGACUCCAUGAAGUUGGAAUCGCUAGUAAUGG
rnacentral:rRNA from 1 species